CACGCGCAAGUGCAAGUAGUAGAUGCGGUGUAUACAAAUAUAUAUUAUCAAUUACGCGAUAAACAAUAAUACUGAUAAGAGAAGAACUCAAAAUUUAACACCCCGCCGUUGUUAUCUCAUAAUAACCUUACGAUUGAUAACGUAAUAUAUUGUGCAGAUACCAAUUAAUGUCCAAAUCACUUAGAUCAUAAACAUAUUAUAUAUACAACAUACAUAAUAUAUUACAUUAUUGUAUAUGAUCUAAGCCAAAUCCUCAUAGUGAUCAGUGAAUAAUCAAUAUUAUCCAAGUUCCAACAGCGGUCAGCAUCUAAUUUACUGUGUAAUAAUGAUAAGAUUAAAUCCUACAAGGAUAGAGCUAAGGAUUGAAGAUCUAAGCGAAUUUGCAGAUAUCAAAAAUCAUUAUGAAGCUAUUAAAAAAACUAAAGAAGAAAAACAAAAAAAUCUAUAUGGUCCUCUUCUAAAUAGCAACACUUCAAAAACCAAACAAGAAGCUGUACAAGAAAGAAUAGGAUUUAUCCCAAGGCCCAGACAUUCAUCACAAUGAAAGAAAAUGUGCGCGGGGUAUGCAGCUGCAAAUCCUGAACAAAGAACCUUGUUUCUACACUCUGUUCCAUCUAAGAGUGAACCACUCGGCAGACCAAAACACGUUUUUACCGUGCAUCCUCACCAUAAUCCAGACAUCGGUGAGAUCAUUAGCUCAGGCACCCGACAACCGAUGAUGGUCUGCCAAUCACGGAACGCAUAGCCAUCGCAUGGGGGCUAUACACUGUUCAGUACCUCAGUCUGCUUGCGCGAAAGCGGUUCACUCUAAGAUGGAAAACAGUAUGGACAUGCCAAAAAUAAAUAAAAAAUCAUAACUAUA